UACGUAGGGUCCGAGCGUUGUCCGGAAUUACUGGGCGUAAAGAGCUCGUAGGUGGUUUGUCGCGUUGUUCGUGAAAACUCACAGCUCAACUGUGGGCGUGCGGGCGAUACGGGCAGACUGGAGUACUGCAGGGGAGACUGGAAUUCCUGGUGUAGCGGUGGAAUGCGCAGAUAUCGGGAGGAACACCGGUGGCGAAGGCGGCAUCCUGGACCGAGAUUGACGCUGAUGCGCGAAAGCCAGGGGAGCAAACGGG
rnacentral:rRNA from 1 species